AUUAUCUGCUUACCAGCCAAUUGGAGGUGAAUUUCAGCAGUAGUAGGUAUCACUACUCAUCCAUCUUGCCAAUAUGGCAGGUUGAAUUUCAUAUAUGCAUGGCUCAAAGUACUCCACUGUAGUGCCGGCAAAUUCUCGUUAUUUUUUGGGGGAGAAGACUCGCUUCACGUCUUUAAAAAUAAAUACUGUAACUACGUUUAAAAAAACGUGACAUGACCGAGUCUGGCAAAUGGAAGUGUAUGUGCCUUGUAAACGUUUACCCGUAGUACUGUUUGCAAUUGUAUUAUUUGAUAUUUCCCUCUUGUUGCAACUGAUGCUGUAGUAGUUUAUUUUAUUUUAUUUUUUUUCCCCUACAAGGGUGGAGGUAUCAUCACUCAAUGCGGGCUCACUGGCUUUCACGCGCAGAUAGCCAAGCAGCCACGAGCCUUAAUCGAUUGAGUCACCGGAGUGCUGGAGCCUAUCCCAGGUAUCUACAGGCAGGAGGUGGAGAACAACCUGAACUGUUUUCCUGCCAAACUCGGAGGAAAUUGGAGUGGC